GAACUACCCAGAAAGAGCUGCAAAUGAAAACGUCUAGAUGAGAGAACGGCGUCACUGUGUUAGGAAACUUCCCAGUAUAAAACACAAAUAACAUCACCGGGCUUUUAAGAAACUGAAGGGGAGCAGCAGUUUCCUGCUGGAGUCUCCAGCAAACAUGAAGUCACACAGCGAACAGGUAAAGAUGGGGUGCUACUGUAUACGGGCUAUCCUAUACCUUGCAUCCUUCGGAGGUUGGUAAAGGGCUUUCCAGAGUCCUGCUGUGAAUUUGUUUUAGUGUUUUUUAAGGGCCCUUAACAACGUCAUUUGUCACAGAGUAAAUCCUGGACGUCUGGUUACUUUCUGCAGGGAAUGCUCUUUGCUGGGCUGCAGCUUGCCAGGGGUCAAAUAUGACAGAAAUGAAGUGUUGCUAAUAGUGAUUGAAAAGGAUUCCUACUGUUUGUGGCCAGUGCUGGUUAUUAGAGAAGCCAAAUUUGUGGGACAGAAAGCAGCAGGAGACAGUAAACUUUCCCUAAGACUUACUAAACUUUGAGUCACCUCUGCUACCAAUGCCAUUCUGUCAGACCUAUUUGGAGAAAACUGAUAUUAUAAUUACUGAUCUCAGCAAGGGCCUAAUGUGCAACCUGAGGCACUCCUCUGCCGGCCAUAUAAUUACAGACGGGCUGGGGAGGCCCGGAGGCCUCGGCCCCCACCCCUCCGACAAGCUGGGUUCGGUUACUGCUCCGGCCAGGCUGUGGCGGACAGUGCAGAAAGAUGUUAUUCCCCUACAAGACGGGAAAAGUCCGGCAUUCCUUGUCCUUAGCCGUGGAAGAGAACAACAAGAAGAGGUUAACUGUUAACCAAACUGUCACACCUUAGGCAAAACAAACCAGCGGGAUCCAGCAGAGAACCUAGGUGUAUCCUAGCCAAGGCCUCGCUACGCUGGGAUGAACUAGCACUGAAUGGUUUAUUUCCAUGUUUCUCAUCUCAGCACCUGAACCAAGAGGCACACAGAGCUGGAGAGCUCAUUUCUCUUCCAUUUGCAAUAAGGCACCACUUAGUGUGACUUACUGUGCUCCUGACACCCAGACAGUUUGGGAUUCUUGAUUUAGCCACUAAAGGAAUGGCCAAAAUCUCUUUUCUUGACUGAUAAAAUCCAAGCCUUGACCUCAAUGAGGGCAUGCCAUAAGUAAGGUGAGAAGAAGUCAGCAAGUGACUGAAGCUGGGCACUACAAUGAUGCACUGGCAUCAAUGAUUUGUACAUGCAUUGGCAUGUACUUUCUAGGCUGAACUAGUGCAUGAAAGAAAAACAGAUUGCUGUCAGAACACGCAGCUUUGAAAAAAAAAAAAAAGAAAAAUAAAAAGAAAAAAUAAAAAGAAAAAAUAAAGUCCACUGUGGUAAUUUCAACAAUGCUUUUUACUUUUCUAAAGUAAAGCUUCAGAAAGAAAGUCUAAUUCUACCUUACUUGCACUAUUUAUU
rnacentral:lncRNA from 1 species